rnacentral:misc_RNA from 1 species
GUGAUUAAAUCGAGCGUGUCUUCAUUGACCGCUCACCCUUCUCACCAUCCACAUACACCUGUGCACUGUUUAGCCUGAGGCCGGUUUUCCGGUCCAGGUUAUCAUUUUCAUACAAACUCUAGUCUUAUGAAUGUAAACGUUUUAAUAACAUAAUA